rnacentral:tRNA from 2 species
AAGGAUUUAAGUUAAGUUAAACUUGUUGCCUUCAAAGCUCCCCAUAAAGAAAAAUCUUUAAGCCUUA